CAGCAAGUGGCAAUACAAAAAAAGCAAGAAUGUGUUAUUUUACAUUCUGGUUUUCUGGGCUCAGUUUUCAACACCCAGUGGUCCUUAGAACAUAUGUCGGUUCAGACUUGCCUGUUCCGGAUGCUCAAAGCCGCGCAGGCACACACGUUGGACGGUGCAGACAUAGAAAUAGUAUUUUCUCCUUGCUCUGAAUUCCCUCACUCCGCUUUCAAUCCGUCUCUUAGAACACACAUCACUUUUUUGUUCUUAUUGCUAGUCUGUUUGCAACUUGAAGGUGAUGGCUGUGUUUUAAUGCUGCUGUUGAUUUUAUUCCCCUAAAGUGCCCAGUCCUGGCCUGCCUGUAGGACGUGAUCAAUAAUUAUGGUUGAUGAAUGAAUAUGGAAACACAAGGCUAGAGGAGAGAGCGCUCGUGGAAACACCUGACCCUGAGAGCCUCUUCGCAGCUCCUGCGGCAUUUCUUUCCCCUGGUUUCUAGAUGGCUGCGAAGAUCUUCCAGGAGAGAAUCAUUCAAGUUUUAGGACCCCCCCCCCAUAAGUUUCCUGUUUCACUUCGCUCUUCUACUCAGUGUAUUAAAAAAAAAAAAAAAAAAAAAAUUCCCACCAGGAGGGCCCAGGAAACAGGAAAAAUAGUUUUGUGCUGUUGGUUUCAUGUUUGGAGAAGAACAGGCUUCUCACUAUCUCCGCGGCACUUGGCGUGAAAGUGGGCUUUGUUGCUGGAGACACUGCUCCCAUUCAGGGCCCCUUCCCCAGCUGCUGAGAGCCGGGCUGUGUUUUGACAGACGGGCCGAAGGCAAUGCAGACAGUUGUUUUAACUUCCAUCCAGAUGCAGACAUCACUCACUCUGAGCCCGAAACCCAGGAAAGGGAGGCUGGGCGCAGGGCGGCAGCUCUCAGGCCUCCGAGGGCAGGUCGGCGGGGGGCGGGCAGAAGCCCCCCGGCCCAGGCGGCUGGGGUUACAGAUAUCCUGCAGGGCUGAGAGUCCCACGCCCUGGGAGAGGCACAGUGGGAGGGCGUCUGGCCAGCACCUGCCAGAAAGGUGCUUCUGUAGGCCUCACAGCCCAUGAGUCGGGGUCAGAGGUUGCUCCUGAAAGCCGGCUGCUCUCAGCGGCUCGCGGCGUGGCUGGAUGUUAUCAUUUAACUGUACUCGUCACUCAGGGCAGAAUUCACAAUAGUCUCAGGGAGCAGUUAGCUAAAGUGCGGGAAAUAGAAUCCUGAAGGUCAGAGUUGGAAGGACCGGCAGCAGAAAUCCCUCCCGUGGCCUCCCAGACACGCGCCACCUUGACUCUGCUUACGUGUCCCAUGGAUGGGGGCCCCUGCCGGGAGCAAGGUCUGUUUCGCUCUCAGAGAACCUUGACUUUCUUCUGUUGAGCUUUCCUGGAACUUUCCACCCAUGAGUCUCGUUGCAGCCACACUGCUGCCCUUCAAACGGUGGCAAACAGGUCCCACGGUCACCUUGAGCUGCAUCCUCCUUGACCCAAAUCAACAUCCCAGUUCUGUCUGCUGUACCUCAGAUGCCACAUCUGGGUACCCCACCCCCCAUCCUGACCCUUCUGGAAAGGCUGUCUGCUUGAGCAAUACUCCUCGGGGGGCAGGUGCGAAGACCUGAGCUGGGAAGUCCCCAGCAUGGGGCGGCUUCUCUCCAUCCCAACACCCUGCCUGUUUACGCAGCCCCUUUAGCUGGGACCUGUCAGGUCAUAUUGGACGUAGAGGCAACUCAACCUGUUAGACGUGAGCUAUUUCAAACCAGCUAUCCCCCAACCUCCAUUUAGAAUAUAAUUUUUUUUUUAAACUGAAUUACCAGCUUUUACACUUGCCCGUUCUGGAUUUCAUAUUUUUAUUAUGAAAGGGAGGUAGGGAUGCUUAAAGCUGAUCACAUCACCCACUUAGAGAAAAGAUUUGUAAUUCAGAAUGUUAAGUAUCAGGAUGUGGGGAAAAUGAACAGGGCUGGGGGCACCUGAGGCUGGUACCCAAGGCCUUUGGCUGCCUGGCACCAGCAUCCAUGCCACCAGCCUCAUCUCUGGCCAUGCUCUUCCAGUGUACACGCCACGCUGAGCUGUGCUGAACUUGGCCAUGACAACUUUUGCUCACGAUUAUCUCUCAGCUAGAAACGCCCUCCCAGGCACCUGUAUCUGUCCGGCUCUCACCCUGACUCACUCCUACCUGGCUGCCCCUUUCCUCCAGACAGGGUGUGCCGGGCGGCCCUCCUUUAGGCUGCCAAGGCCCCCAGGCGCACACCUCUGCGUGCGAUGGAUGCUCAGCGCAAGAGCAGUAGAGCAAUUCUCAGAGUGUAAUUACCAACUCCCGCUGGACUGUGUACUCUGCGGGGGCUGGAUCUGUGUCCUGUUCACGGCUGUUUCUCCAGCAUGUGGCACCAGAGCCUCUGAGUAGUGACAUCUGAUAAACAUUUGCUGUGCGUGCAGUGUCGGGCUCCAUCCCGAGCCUCCCUCCAGGACAUGGCGAAGGCAUCUCCAUCAGAUCCUUUGUCCCCCUGCUGGAGGCGGAACGCCGGGCUGCUGGACCACAGGUUGUUUUUCCACUUGAGUUCACGCUUCCAGCAGGUGGGGGACCUCUCUGCCCGAACACACAGCACCCCAUUCCCAGUCCAGCAAAUGUUUUUGCAGCCUGGCAGCCUCCUGCCCCAGCCAGCGAUGGUUACCUAGGACAUGCCAAAUGCAAGGCUUCAGUCUCCUGACCCUCUGCCUGGCCUUAAUGUCACACAUGCUGGGCAGAGAGGAGUGAGCAAUGACCACAUGGGCCUGCUCGUGUCCC
ensembl:lncRNA